rnacentral:rRNA from 1 species
UGAAUAAGGAUCGGCUAACUCCGUGCCAGCAGCCGCGGUAAUACGGAGGAUCCGAGCGUUAUCCGGAUUUAUUGGGUUUAAAGGGAGCGUAGGCGGCCUUUUAAGUCAGCGGUGAAAGUCUGUGGCUCAACCAUAGAAUUGCCGUUGAAACUGGGAGGCUUGAGUAUGUUUGAGGCAGGCGGAAUGCGUGGUGUAGCGGUGAAAUGCUUAGAUAUCACGCAGAACCCCGAUUGCGAAGGCAGCCUGCCAAGCCAUGACUGACGCUGAUGCACGAAAGCGUGGGGAUCAAACAGGAUUAGAUACCCUGGUAGUCCACGCAGUAAACGAUGAUCACUAGCUGUUUGCGAUACACGGUAAGCGGCACAGCGAAAGCGUUAAGUGAUCCACCUGGGGAGUACGCCGGCAACGGUGAAACUCAAAGGAAUUGACGGGGGCCCGCACAAGCGGAGGAACAUGUGGUUUAAUUCGAUGAUACGCGAGGAACCUUACCCGGGUUUGAACGCAUUCGGACCGAGGUGGAAACACCUUUUCUAGCAAUAGCCGUUUGCGAGGUGCUGCAUGGUUGUCGUCAGCUCGUGCCGUGAGGUGUCGGCUUAAGUGCCAUAACGAGCGCAACCCUUGCCACUAGUUACUAACAGGUGAUGCUGAGGACUCUGGUGGGACUGCCAGCGUAAGCUGCGAGGAAGGCGGGGAUGACGUCAAAUCAGCACGGCCCUUACAUCCGGGGCGACACACGUGUUACAAUGGCGUGGACAAAGGGAUGCCACCUGGCGACAGGGAGCGAAUCCCCAAACCACGUCUCAGUUCGGAUCGGAGUCUGCAACCCGACUCCGUGAAGCUGGAUUCGCUAGUAAUCGCGCAUCAGCCAUGGCGCGGUGAAUACGUUCCCGGGCCUUGUACACACCGCCCGUCAAGCCAUGGGAGCCGGGGGUACCUGAAGUCCGUAACCGCGAGGAUCGGCCUAGGGUAAAACUGGUGACUGGGGCUAAGUCGUAACAAGGUAGCCGUACCGGAAGGUGCGGCUG